CUAAGAAUAUUCCGCAAUGGACGAAAGUCUGACGGAGCGACGCCGCGUGGAUGAUGAAGGCCGAAAGGUUGUAAAGUCCUUUUGUCGAUGAAGAAUAAGUGUGGGAGGGAAUGCCCGCAUGAUGACGUUAGUCGGCGAAUAAGCCCCGGCUAAUUACGUGCCAGCAGCCGCGGUAACACGUAAGGGGCAAGCGUUGUUCGGAAUUAUUGGGCGUAAAGGGUACGUAGGCGGUUCAGUAAGCCCGGCGUGAAAUCCCACAGCUUAACUGUGGAGCUGCGCUGGGAACUGCAGGACUUGAGUCAUGGAAGGGGAGUUGGAAUUCCAGGUGUAGGGGUGAAAUCUGUAGAUAUCUGGAAGAACACCGGUGGCGAAGGCGAACUCCUGGCCGAUGACUGACGCUGAGGUACGAAAGCGUGGGGAGCAAACAGG
rnacentral:rRNA from 1 species